UAGGGAAUCUUCCACAAUGGACGCAAGUCUGAUGGAGCAACGCCGCGUGAGUGAAGAAGGUUUUCGGACCGUAAAGCUCUGUUGUUGGUGAAGAAGGAUAGAGGUAGUAACUGGCCUUUAUUUGACGGUAAUCAACCAGAAAGUCACGGCUAACUACGUGCCAGCAGCCGCGGUAAUACGUAGGUGGCAAGCGUUGUCCGGAUUUAUUGGGCGUAAAGCGAGCGCAGGCGGAAGAAUAAGUCUGAUGUGAAAGCCCUCGGCUUAACCGAGGAAUUGCAUCGGAAACUGUUUUCUUGAGUGCAGAAGAGGAGAGUAGAACUCCAUGUGUAGCGGUGGAAUGCGUAGAUAUAUGGAAGAAUACCAGUGGCGAAGGCGGCUCUCUGGUCUGCAACUGACGCUGAGGCUCGAAAGCAUAGGUAGCGAACAGGAUUAGAUACCCUGGUAGUCCAUGCCGUAAACGAUGAGUGCUAAGUGUUGGGAGGCUUCCGCCUCUCAGUGCUGCAGCUAACGCAUUAAGCACUCCGCCUGGGGGAGUACGACCGCAAGGUUGAAAC
rnacentral:rRNA from 1 species